UUGGGAAUCUUGCACAAUGGGGGAAACCCUGAUGCAGCGACGCCGCGUGGAGGACGAAGGGUCUAGGCUCGUAAACUCCUUUUUUCGGGAAAGACUUAGGACGGUACCCGAAGAAUAAGCACCGGCUAACUACGUGCCAGCAGCCGCGGUAAGACGUAGGGUGCAAGCGUUGUCCGGAUUUACUGGGCGUAAAGAGCGCGUAGGCGGCUCGUUAAGUGUGAAGCUAAAUCUCUUGGCUCAACCAAGAAACUAUUUCGCAUACUGGCGGGCUGGAGUGAUGCAGAGGUGGAUAGAAUUCCCGGUGUAGCGGUGAAAUGCGUUGAUAUCGGGAGGAAUACCCGUGGCGAAGGCGGUCCACUGGGCAUCAACUGACGCUGAGGCGCGAAAGCGUGGGUAGCAAACA
rnacentral:rRNA from 1 species